CUGGUGACCGAUAGCGAACUAGUAGCGCGAGCGAAAGAUGGGAAGAACCCCGAUAAGGGGAGGACACUGAACCUGAAACCACAUGCCUACAAGCGGUAGGAGCCCUAUGCCCGCAAGGGAACGGGUGACUGCGUGCCUUUUGCAUAAUGAUCCGACGACUUACCGUAACGGGCGAGGCUAAGCGUCUUUGGCGCGGAGCCGUAGUGAAAGCGAGCAUGAACAGUGCGCCAAGUCCGGUGCGGUAGACGCGAAACCACGUGAACUACGCAUGGUCAGGAUGAAGGGGAGGUAACACUUCCUGGAAGACCGAACUCACUAGUGUUGAAAAACUAGGGGAUGAACUGUGUGGAGGAUUGAAAGUAUCAUCAAACGUGGAGAUAGCUCGUUC
rnacentral:rRNA from 14 species